UGUGGCUCAGUGGUAAGAGCACUUGCCUAGCAUGCAUGGGGUACUGGGUUCGAUCCUCAGCA
rnacentral:tRNA from 1 species